GAAGUUUCCCUCAGGAUAGCUGGAACUUAUUGUGAAGUAGUUUUAUCAGGUAAAGCGAAUGAUUAGAGGCUUUGGGGAAGAAACUUCCUCGACCUAUUCUCAAAACUUUAAAUAGGUAAGAUUUGAAGGAUACUUAAGUGAUCUUUCAAUCUCUUGAAUAUAAAGUUCUUAGUGGGCCAUUUUGGUAAGCAGAACUGGCGAUGUGGGAUGAACCGAACGUUAAGUUAAAGUGCCAAAUAAUACGCUCAUGAGAUACCAUAAAAGGUGUUGGUUCAUUUUGACAGCAGGACGGUGGCCAUGGAAGUCGGAACCCGCUAAGGAGUGUGUAACAACUCACCUGCCGAAUGAACUAGCCCUGAAAAUGGAUGGCGCUUAAGCGUAUAACUUAUACUUAACCCUUACUUGAAUUAUAAUAGCGAGUAAGGAGUAGGAGGGCG
rnacentral:rRNA from 1 species